rnacentral:tRNA from 1 species
GGGGUCAUAGCUCAGUUGGUAGAGCGCGUCGUUCGCAAUGACGAGGUCAGGGGUUCGAACCCCCUUGACUCCA